ACUGAAUAUAUGUUUUUUUUUGUUUGGUGGAAUCUGCUCUUAAACUUCUUUCUAUCUAUCCAGAUUGUUUGGAAUUUCUUCUUGGCCAACAUUUUGUAUAUAUGUUCUAUUUUUUUUUUGGAGGAAUUUACUCUCAAAUUCAUUAAUUUGGUCUAAUUGUGCAUACUAUUUUUCAUAAUCACAGUGAGGUAAAACACUAUGUGGUUCCAAAUUCAGAAUGCUG
rnacentral:misc_RNA from 1 species